GCCGAGCCCUGCCCGCCUGGUUCUCAUUUAGAGCAAGCCCAGCUACAGCGAGGACAUUCCAGAGGGGACAGUCAGACGCCAGUCCGCCCAGGGCUGGGGAAGCUAGGCUACGGGUCCCGCCAGGGUCAGAGGGCUCCGGACCAGGCUUCCUGCCCUGGCCACAUCUCCAAGCGGCUUAACCCUUCCAGGAGCAUGGCCGCUCUUCUGUGGCCUGCUGACCACAGCCACCACUGACCCUCGGCCUGAGCCGAGGCCUCCUGGCUCCCAGGCCCCUGUCCCUGCCCAGCCUGGUCUCCCUGCUGCCCUGCCCGUGGGCUUCCAGCUGUGGUCCACGCCUUCCGGGUUGAGGAGGCAGGGGACAGGACAAUUGCCACUAAUUAGGUGUCAGCUGCGGCUGCCACAGGCUCGGCCCUCCCGGGAGACGCAGGUGGAAGGCUCUCUCCCUGGAACGAGCCUGCCCUUCUCAGCCUGGAAAAGCCGGCUGCCCGAGCUGCUCCCAGCUGGGCGUCCGGGCACGAAGCUCCCUGUUUGUGAUGGCCCCUCCCUCCGCUCCUGCUCCGCACCUGGAUUAUGGUACUCGGCUUGCUCAUCAAAAUAAAUUCUUUCUCCUGUCACUUCAACCCCCAAAGCUCCGAGGCAGGUGCAGGACCCAGGAGGGCAGUCACAGCCCUGAGCCGGCUACCACCUGGCCCUAGACCCAUCAGACAUGGAGGAGUGGCCCACACGGGGGAGGGCCAGGCCUGUCCCUGCUCUCCUGGAGGAUGAAUGGGCUGCUCUGCCUGGAGCUUCCCCUGCCACUUUCUCUGACCCCAGCAGACCAAGCCUGCACACAGGAAGGCAGCACUGCUGGGCGGGCGAGGCAGUGCUUGCUGUAUCUGAGCACCUGGAUCCAGCCAUUCCUGAGGCCUGAUUCCCCCCCCCCAAUAAAUUCCAUUUUCUCCCUAA
rnacentral:lncRNA from 1 species